AUAAUUUUUUCGGCCUUUUGGCUAAGAUCAAGUGUAGUAUUUGUUCUUAUCAAUUUAAGGGGGAUUGGAUAAAUAUCACCCCUACCUAAAAAAUCAAGCACAACUUAC
rnacentral:snRNA from 1 species